rnacentral:rRNA from 1 species
UACGGAGGGUGCGAGCGUUGUCCGGAAUCACUGGGCGUAAAGGGCGCGUAGGCGGCGCGGGGAGUCAACGGUGAAAGCUCGGCGCUCAACGCCGAGUCGGCCGUCGAUACUCCCCGUGCUCGAGCACUGUAGAGGCAGGUGGAAUUCCGGGUGUAGCGGUGGAAUGCGUAGAGAUCCGGAAGAACACCGGUGGCGCAAGG